rnacentral:lncRNA from 1 species
UGAACAUUUAGUCUGUACCCCAUUUCCCGAACGUCCCGAAGCUUUGGCUCAAAAUACAAAGAAAUGUCUACAGUUUCAUAACUCAAAGAUAACUUCCAAAAUAUUCGAUGUUGCUGGUCUUUCAAAUAGUUCAACCUCAUGAAGACGGCUUUCUUAUCAUUUUUGUCUUUUUAAUUACUAAGUUCCGGUCAUUAAAGAGGUUUUCAAGAAUAAAAAAUGAAAAAAAAAAGACAGCAAGUAUGUCUUUAAAAGGUUCCUUUUAAUUUAAUUCAGCAGGACAACAUCUUAAGGGCAUCUUUUCAGGUUAUAUUUCUAGCAGGAGGUCAUUUAGAGCACAUAGUUUUACCAUGUCAAUAAUGGAAGUCAUCUAGAAACUAUUUCUCCACAUUUCAGUCACAAAGAGUCAUCCUGAUGAUUAUUUUUUCAAACAUGAAUCGUCAGAAGCUUUUCCAGAAAACAUUUGUUUAUGUUUUCUCUAACUAUAGGACCUUCAGAAGGCAGUUUUUCACGUUUUUUUUUUAAACCAGGACAGCCAGUUUGCACUUUUUCUAUGUGAGGGUACCAUGAUGGGCAUAAUUUUACGUUUGUACACCAGUAGGUCACUCCUUUUCACAUUUUAAUCCCUGACAGGACAUUCAGAAGGCUUAUGUCAUAUUUUAUUUAUUAGCAGGCGAUUCAGAGUGUUUUCUAUUUUUUUUAUUUUGAUCAACAGAGGAACAGACAGAGGGCACUAGGUCAUUUUUUAUCCACUUAUGGGCACUUUCAAGAGGCUUUUUUUUUUCACAUUUUCAUCUUCUACAAGAGCAUUCAAGAAAACUUUCAUGCAGCUAUUUUUUUUUACCAGCACAAAAGUCCCCUUAGUCCUCUCUGACUGUAUGACUCUGACCUAGAUUACAGCAAUUAUAAUUCUAUUCUAUUCCAUGUUUAUAUUUUCCGCAAACACUGAUACUACUAUUACUAAUUAUAAUAAUGAUAACUUUGUUUGUAUAGCAUUUUUAAAAACAAGGGUUUACAAAGUGCUUUGGCAUUCAGAAAAACAAAGCAGCAAAACUGAAACAAAAACUAGAGAACACUUAAGAGGAGAGAACGUUAACAGGAACCAAAACCCAGAGACCAAGGGUACUGAAGCUUUAAAAGGCAUUAAAAGAGAAGGAAUAAGAACUAAAAACAUGAAAAGGGGUAAAAUUCUAAAUAAAAUUAAAUGUAAGAAGAUGACAUCACAUAAAAGCAAGUCCAUAAAAAUGGGUUUCAAGAAAUGAUUUAAAAGCAGUAACUGUUUCAGCAUGUCUCAUCUCCUCAGGUAGGUCAUUCCAAAGUUGAGAAGCCCUGAUGGAAAGGCCCAGUCACCUUUAGUUACAAGCCUUGACUCUGUUAAACCAGUAGGCCACCACCCAAGGGUCUUAGGGUGUGGGCUGGCUCAUAGGGAGUUUCAUAGAUUGGAACCAGACCCUUUAGUCAUUUAGUGCUUUUAUAGUAAUGAGUAAAAACUUUAAAUAAAUUUAUUCUAAAACUAUCAGAAAGCCACAGUAAAGAUACUAAAAUCAGGGUGAUGUGAUGUGAUGUGAUGUGAUGUCGUCUAUUAAAACCAAUUAGUCUAGCUGCUGCAUUCUGAACCAGUUGGAGGCGGGAAAGGGAUUUCAUAGUAAUACCUGAAAGAAGUGAGUUACAGUAAUGAAGGCAGGAGAAAAUGAGGGCAUGGAUGAUUUUUUCCAUGUCUAACUGAGAGAGGAAGGAUUUGAAUUUGGAAAUACCGCAUGAGAGGAGAAGCAUGACUGUGAGAUUUUAUUGAUUUGAACUGCAGAGGUGAGGUUAGAAUCAAACUGAACCCCCAGAUUUAUGGCUGAUGAUUUGAUAUUUGAUGAAAAUGAACCAAGGCUGUUAUUGAUUAUGUUUGAGGAAUUUUGUCAGUUGAGCAUGAUUAUUUCAGAUUUGCAGUUGUUUAGUUGUAGUGAAUUCUGUGCCAUCCAACAGAUUACAUAAUAUAAAUAGUCUGUAACGGCAGCUAGGCUUCUCAGGUCUCAGGUCUCAGGAGCAGGUAUAUGUGUGUGUCGUCUGUGUAUCAGUAAAAGGAGACCUUAUGAGUCUGAAUUAUUUGACCAAGGGGCAUAAUGAUGCGUCUUUCCUUGUUGUGCACUCAUGGCCUAAGUGUGAUGUUUUAGCUUGCCUCCUCAAGUGUCAAUAACUUGUUCCAUUAAGUUAAGCACAAUAAUAUUUAUGGAGGCAAAAAGCAUCAUACGGAUAUGCCAAUCCGUUUAAAUCUUUUUACUCAAUAGCAUAGUAAACCCAAAGGCCUUUUGUGCACCACGCCUGUCACAAUUAGAGGGCAUCUUCAAUUUCCUUUUAGCACCCCCUGCAGAACCCUCAGACGAAUCCUGAGAAUGGCUCCACCAGGGCACCAUAUAAAUAGAAAAUAAAAUAGGACCUAAAACCGAACCUUGUGGUACACCACGGGUAAAAGUAGAGGUGGAGGAGGGGUGGUUACCUAUGGUGAAUGCAGAGGCCCGCUCUGAAAGAUAAGAAUAUAACCAGCUAAGUUUGGUGUCCCUGUUGCCCCAUCAGUCUUUAAGACAUUCAAUUAAAAUAGCAUGAUCAACAGUAUCAAAUGCUGCACUGAAAUCAAAAAGAACUAAAAUGGCUCCC